UACGGGGGGAGCAAGCGUUGUUCGGAUUUACUGGGCGUAAAGGGCGCGUAGGCGGCUUUGUAAGUUAGAGGUGAAAGCCCGGAGCUCAACUCCGGAACUGCCUUUAAGACUGCAUCGCUAGAACGUUGGAGAGGUGAGUGGAAUUCCGAGUGUAGAGGUGAAAUUCGUAGAUAUUCGGAAGAACACCAGUGGCGAAGGCGGCUCACUGGUCCGGUACUGACGCUGAGGUGCGAAAGCGUGGGGAGCAAACAGG
rnacentral:rRNA from 1 species